ACAAACAAAAAGGAAGUCAAAAUGUCGAAGCUAUCGUUCCGAGCACGCCAUCUGGAUCCGUCCAAGCAGAUGCCCAUCUACUUGGCCGAGGAGCUGCCCGAUCUGCCCGAGUAUUCAGCCAUAAAUCGUGCCGUGCCCCAAAUGCCCAGUGGCAUGGAGAAGGAGGAAGAAUCGGAGCAUCAUCUGCAGCGGGCAAUCUGCACGGGCCUCAUCAUCCCCACACCCGAGGUACUGCAGACGGACCAGCCCUUCUACGAUACCUACUAUCCGCCGGACUACAAGAUGCCUCGCCAGAUGAUUCACAUGCAACCUCUUGGCCUGGACACUGAGGUGCCCGACUAUGACAUGGACAAAGCGGACAUGGAAUGGCUUAGCCAGCAGGAGCGCCUGGAGCUGACGGAGCUGAAGUUUGAACAAUUGAUGGAUUUGCUGGAGAAGAGCUCGGGUCAAACGGUCGUCACCCUCAACGAGGCCAAGUCUCUGCUCAAUCAGGAUGACGAGACGAGCAUAUCCCUCUACGAUUACUGGCUCAACAAGCGCCUCAAGAUGCAACAUCCGCUGAUACUCACUGUGAAGACAGAGAGUCGUCCUGGUGCCAGCUCCAACAAUCCGUAUUUGGCCUUUCGUCGGCGCACCGAGAAAAUGCAAACGCGCAAGAAUCGCAAGAACGACGAGGCCUCCUACGAGAAGAUGCUCAAGCUGCGACGCGACCUGCAGCGUGCCACAACUAUACUGGAGAUGGUGCGGCGACGCGAGGAGACGAAGCGCGAACAACUCAAGACGACGGUGAAUAUCUUUGAGAAGCGCGUCGAGUUGCGCGACUUCAACGGUGCUGUCUACUCCGAGCUGAAUGCUCAAUACAAGAGCACGAGACCCGCGUAUAAUUCAUUGUAUACGAAUCAAUACUCACAAGGGGCGGCGGCGGCGGUUGGAACGGCUGGUGCCAUUCUGGCUGCCCUGCCCCCGGGUCUGCUGGCAAGUGGCGGAGCAGCGGGCAACACGAAUGUGUAUGCCUCGCCGUCGCAGUACCUGAACACGUCGACAAUGGACACCAUCCACUCUGGCAGCGGCAACGGCAACGGCAACGGGAGCAGCAGUCGCAAGGAGAAGCGUCCCUACAAGAAGCGCAAACACAAACUUCCCCGCGACAAGCAGCAGAACCAGCACCAACAACUGCAACAACAACAACAGCAGCAGCAGACUCAACAGUAUUUGCCCGGACAGUCGUCAGGAUCUGGAGCAUCGCCUGCCCACCAUUUGCCCCACCAUCUGCACAACCUCAGCAGGCAGCAGAGUGCCUCGCCGGCGGCAAACGAUUCGAUUCUGGACAGCGAGGAUGAUGACUACCUAAACGGUGGCCUCAACGGCAACCAACUGGGCUCCGAGAGCGAGGAUGAGGCGCCGUUUGCAUUUAGACGGAAGCCGAGCUGUAUUUACCUGCCCACACGGCACCGAAAUGGACGUUGGCCCUAUGACUCGGCGGAUGAGGAGACGGAAACGAGCAGAUCGACGGGACCAUAUUCGGAUCCCAAAUAUCGCUACACGCUGACCUCCAUCAACUAUCCCAGCCCGCGUUGCAUUGGCUUCGCCCGACGUCGUGUGGGCCGUGGCGGAAGGAUCCUGCUCGAUCGGGCCACAACGAACUUUGACGAUGUCUGGUCGCAGUUGGACUACACGGUCAUGGAGAGUGUCGUCAAGAGCAACAACGCGCAAAGGAGAAACAACCAACUAUCGAAGCCGGAGCUGCUGCCGCUGGCCAAGCCCUGCUCCCCGCCGACUGUUGUGGACCUUGUUGUGCCCACAUCCAAACACAUUGACAGCGUUGAUGCGACGUCGCUGCCGCCCGACGCCAUUGUCAAAUCGGAGCCCACCAGUCAUUCGGUGGAUAAGCCCAUUGCCGGCGGAUCGGCGGGUGAUUCAUUGCUGCCCCUCCCGCUAGACAAAGAGGUGGACGCUGAGGUGCUCGAUCUGGACGGGGAGGAAGAUGACCUGGUUACCGAUGACGAGAAUGUCUCACGGCUGAGUUUCUAUAGUUCGGCGGUAACGUUGUCCCAGAGCUCGCACGACAUGCGCCUGAAACGGCGUCGCCUGCGGCACAAGAAGCAGCAGAUGCGAGAGCUCAAUGCGGCCAAGCGACUGAAGAGAUCGUCGGAUGCAGCAGCCACUGGAGGAACUGGUGGAGAGCCAGCAGCAGGUGGGGAGGAAGGUCCUUUCACUGCUCCGUUGUGUCCUUUGCCCCGGGCGUAUCUGCAGCGUCUGGUGCUGGCCUUGGGACAGAAACUCAAGCAGGAGGAGGCGAUGGAAGUUUGCGAGAAUCUGGCUCCGCAAGAGGAGAAGAGCAGUGCUGCAGAGGAGCUCCAGCAGCCUGCUCCUCCUCGAGCCAAUAAUCAGCACCACCACCGUUCCAACAACAACAACAACACCGUGUUGAACAACAUCAACAACAACAACAAAAACAACAACAACAACAAUAGCAGUAGUAGUAGUAGUAAUAUGAAUAAGGACGUUAGCAUAAGCGAAAAAAUCAAUGUGAUAAAGCUGGAGGCAGAGGGGAACGAGGACGUUGGGCGAGAGCAGCCGGUAGCUUCCACGUCAGCGGCAGCGGCAGCAGCACGAGCCGUUGAAGCAGCCGCUGCAGCGGAAGCAGCAUCAUCAGCAGCUGGAGUAUCCAUGCUCGGACCUUCCAUGGAGGAUGUGGCCAAGACGAUAAAGCGGGAGCUAAUCGAUGCCGACGACUCCAAUGAGCCGCUGAGCAUCAUCCGCACCGCGACGGUGGCUGCGACUGUACUCCAGGCCAGCCCCGAUCCCGAACUGAUGGACGACGAGGCCGAGGACGAUGUCAAUCUCGCCCAGCUGAGCAGCAUCAUCCGUCACACGGCUGUCAAGAAGGAGCUGGAGGCGCAGCAGCAGCAUCAGCAACAGCAGCAGCUGCAGCAGCGGGAGCAGAGGGGAUACGGAUACCCGCAGGAGCUGAAGGAGGAGACCGUCUGCUUGAAUCAGCUGCCCGAUGUGAUUCGGUUGCAGAAUCUGCGCAACGCCCAAACGUGCUCGAAGCCCAGGGACCUGUAUAUAGAUGCCACGGCAGAGGACAUGGACGUGGACUACCUGGGCGGACUCUCGCCCACCUCCAGUCAGCGUCUGGACAUUUGCAACGAACUCCUCUCCGAGAUCCGACGCGACUGGCUGCACUUUCGUCCAAAGACGCCUACGGACGAGCUCUCCGAUAGCAACGAUGGUGAGGGCAAGCCCUGCGGCGACUCUGGUGUCCAUGCGGUGGACUGGACCCAGGAUACGCCCAUCAGCGUGGAGCUGAAUCGUCUUGGAAAGCAGGAGGAAAUCGAGAGCGACACCAGCUCUUAUUUCCUGAGCAAUGCCUUCAAGUACACGGAUCUGGACUCUGAUGCCCAGCUCAUUCAGACGGCCUACGCCCAGGACUAUGCCCGAGGCACCAGCAAGAGUCCGAACUGCUCGGGCUCUGGCUCUGGUUCGGGGUCCGCCCUGGAGUUCAACUUGAGCGCCGGCGACUCGCUCAACGACAUCAACAAUCUGCUCGGCGACGACGAGGACGACAACCACGAGCACAUGCUGGACAACAUUCUGCAGGAGUGCGGCAUGGACGAUCCGAAGGCACUCAAUCAGGCCACCAGCUUCUGGAACGGCAUCCUCGAUGGCGAGGCGGCUGUGGACGAGGUCGAGAUUGCCGAUCAGCUCCUCGACUGCAUCGACGAAAAGAAGCCCAAGGUGGGCGGAGAGGCGUCCAAGCGCGCCGGGCGACUUCGCAAGCCGAGGCCAGUGAAUGUCCCUGUGGGCAGCUCGUUGUUUACGGUCUGUCCCACGCAAGAGUCGCUCAAGAAUCGCGAGGUGUUCUUCAGCCAGGAGGUGGUGACGCCCAAAGAGGAGCCACAGCCAGCGACAGAAACAGAGACAGCUCCCGUUCCGGCAACAACGACAACGACAACGGCGGCAACGACGACGGCAGACACCCUGGAGCCUGUGAAGGUGGAACCAGCGGUAGAGACACCACAGCCUGAGGUGGUGGUAUCCCCAGCCCAGUCCCAGCCCACGCCACCGCCACCGCCGCAGUCGCAGCCGCAAUCACAGUCGAUGCCACAGCCAAUUUUGGCGACUCCCACGCCGCAGAUCAUCAACAUACCCGCCCAGAUAAUACCCCAGAAGCCGCAGAUGGCGCAAAUACAGACGCAGACGCAGCAGCUCCAGCUUCAAUCGCAGACACAGGCGCAGGUCCAGGCACAGACAGCGCCCCAGCAGGUGACGCAGUUGCUCAACCAGUUCGCCAAUGCCAGUCCGCAGAUCAUUGCCAGGACGGAAUACGGAGGAGGAGCGGCCGUCGGGGACAUUGUGACGAUCACACCGCACACGGGAAGCAGUCCCCUGCCCACCCUAUCCGCCCAACAGCAGCUGCAGCACCAGUUGGCGCAGGCCCAGCUCCGCAACGUGACCGUUCAGCAGCGCCAGGGCACGCCCCAACAGGUGCAAGUGCAACAGCAGCAGCAACAGCCCACCCAGCAGUUGCUCUUCCAGAUGCAGCGAGACGGGAUCGGCUCGCCGGUGAUCACCACACAGAGCAUCGUCACCUCCUCGCGCUCCUUGACACCCCUCAAUGCAGCCGGCGCUGGCGCCGCUGGCAAUCACAUGAUCUAUACCACCGGCAGCGGCGAGAUCAUCACGGCAGCAGCAGCGGCUGCCGCCCAGAAGGUCACCUACGCCAUACAGAAGUCAAGUGGCUCCGGCGGAGGAGCAACCACCACAUCGAUUGGACCCAAUACCGUCAUCACUUUGUCCAAUGUAAAGCUGCAGAGCGACGACAACUGCUCCGCGGGUGGCGCCGGCUCCGGGUCCAGUGUGAACAUCAUCAACACGGCCAGUGGCCAGCAGCUGGCCGUGCACAGCAUAGCCGGGAUGCAGCAACAGCACCACCAUCAGCAGCAGCAGCAGCAGGGUACAACCACAACGCCCCUGAUCGUCACGACGCCCACCCGCAACAAUGUCGUCCAGCAGCAUUCGCAACAGCAGCUGGUGCAGCAGCAGCCGAUUGUGUGGCGCCAGGUGAGCGGAACGAACACGGCGGUGGCCACCACGGCGGUGCUCUCGACGACGGCCGACACCUCGCCAGCGGCGGUGGGCAACAAGAUACUCUGGACUAGCCGUGGCACCCAGAAGCGACAGCUCAACGGGCCCGAGAACACAGGUUAUGUGUCAGAAAUCAGAAAUCAAGGAUCGAGCAUCUAGCAUCUAGCUUUCAAGAUUUAGCUGAUGUUUUUGAUUUGAUUCGAUUCGCAACCGCUCUGAGAUCCGUUUUCUUUGGUUCUUGAUAUCGGAGACAUCAACAAGCUGCUGCUGAAUCGGAAGUUCUCGCAGAGGAAGGUGAUUGGCCAGCAUCCGGGAGGAGGGCAGCAGAUUCAGCAGC
rnacentral:misc_RNA from 1 species